rnacentral:miRNA from 1 species
UAGGGUGGCUGACCACCCUGGUUUGCUUGGGACUGAGAGAUUUCCUGGGAUGCAGAACUUUCGGUGCUAAAAUCCAUACAGUC